rnacentral:sRNA from 1 species
GCCGGGCAUGGUGGCUCAUGCCUGUAAUCCUAGCACUUUGGGAGGCCGAGGCAGGUGGAUCACCUGAGGUCAGGAGUUCGAGACCAGCCUGGCCAACAUGGUGAAACCCCGUCUCUA